CUGCCAGUUUCAUUACCCGAACUGCACUUGUUUGAAUUACUGAAAUUUUCUCAAUGAACUGGACUAGUUUGCAUUACUAGAAGUCUAGAACUGAAAUGGCUUGAUCAAUUAGUUAAUUGCCAGAAUAUAGAGUGCAUCUACAUAAAGAUAAAUUGUUGUUGCAUGUCUAUUGUAAUUCCCAGUUAGUGUGUAUCAAUACUAUCAAUGCUGUAAAUUAUUUCUUAAAAGUACCAAAAGUGUGUUCAGUAUACUGGUUAGUUCUCCUUUAAAUGCGCACAUUACGUGCUCCUGUAGUUUAUUCACCUUUUUUACUUCUAAUUAAAAGCUCAGUUUCUAUGAUGCAAUGUUGUAAUUAAAUCAAUCCUGCAACCUCCAGUUGAAAAUUAAUGCAGCAAGGAAUUCCAGUUGUAUCACUAAACUUGGUUAAUAGAGAUAUGAGUAAUGUCACACCUCAUCAAUGAUGCCUUACUCUGAGCACAAUUUUGAUUUCCUACUAGUACAUGAUCUGAUACGAGUUUAUAUGUGCACCAAGGGUUAUGCCAUGGCCGGCAACGGCAGCCUGGAGCGCCUCCAGAAUGAGUAGUACUAUGUGAUCUGCAAGGAGCUGCCGGUGCUGAAUGUGGAUCGCCCUCUUGCCCAGCAACAUGUUGGAGUGGUGUAGUAGUUUCUUCAGUAGGUUCUCCUUAUGUUAUAUACAAAUAACGGGACUGCACUUUUGUCUCUUGGCUGCAAUGGUGUGAAAAUAAAGUGCAGUGAUAGGAAUCCCAGUGGCAAGUUUCGCCUCAAGGGCAGCCUGUAGUGCCUCCAGAAGAAGUAGCACGUGAUCUGCAAGUUGUGCUAUUCCUGGGAGCUGUCACGGGCUGCCUGACCAUCCUAGCCACGGAUACCGGUAUCGACUCCAUGUGUUUGUGUGAUUCUUGGUAACUAUUUGGCUUCAAGAAUACCAAGCAAGCGGAACUAUUCAAAUGGCCUCUUUUUUGUCGCCGAUGUUUAGGUGGUGAUACCUGAUGGGAUUAUUUUGGUCGAAGACUCCGAGUAGAGCUCUAAUCUUUGGAUCACAGUUGUAAUUCCAUACACAUAGGUGACUGCCAUUUCAAGGAAACAAAGAUAUGCUUUAUUAAAGCUGACCCUGAUGUUUUGUUCCUGCUGGAGGAUAAAUAACAAUGCAUCAGCUGGAGUGUUGAGGCUAAUGCAUCACUCGUCAAGGAAGAACAGGGGGGCAAGGAGACGUCACCAUCAGGCAGCACCUAGCCUCCUUAAAUAUUAUAUCCGUGAUGUAUAUAGUUGCAAAGGAUGUGUUUUGCUGUAAUAUUCGCUGUACUAUGUUGCAAGAUUUGUGAUGUAUGCGCCUUUAGCUUUGUUUUAUUUAUGUUGUGCUGUGAAUGUCCCUAAAAGAUGCUGAUAUGUAUUCGCUUUUUUUGUUGAUUGUUUGAUAUGUGACCUGAAUGCUUGAGAAAUCAAAAGGUCUUGGGAAAUUUUCGAUUUUUUU